rnacentral:rRNA from 1 species
UCCUACGGGGGGCAGCAGUAGGGAAUCUUCCACAAUGGGCGAAAGCCUGAUGGAGCAACGCCGCGUGGGUGAAGAAGUAUUUCGGUAUGUAAAGCUCUAUCAGCAGGGAAGAAAGAAAUGACGGUACCUGACUAAGAAGCCCCGGCUAACUACGUGCCAGCAGCCGCGGUAAUACGUAGGGGGCAAGCGUUAUCCGGAUUUACUGGGUGUAAAGGGAGCGUAGACGGCGAUGCAAGUCUGAAGUGAAAGGCGGGGGCCCAACCCCUGGACUGCUUUGGAAACUGUAUGGCUGGAGUGCAGGAGAG